GCCUCUGUAGCUCAGUUGGUUAGAGCGCUGCACCGGAAUCGCAGGGCCGUAAGUUCAAUUCCUACCAGAGGAU
rnacentral:tRNA from 1 species